rnacentral:misc_RNA from 1 species
GAUGAAGAACGUAGCGAAAUGCGAUAAGUAAUGUGAAUUGCAGAAUUCAGUGAAUCAUCGAAUCUUUGAACGCACAUUGCGCCCGCCAGUAUUCUGGCGGGCAUGCCUGUCUGAGCGUCAUUUCAACCCUCAUGCCCCUAGGGCGUGGUGUUGGGGAUCGGCCAAAGCCCGCGAGGGACGGCCGGCCCCUAAAUCUAGUGGCGGACCCGUCGUGGCCUCCCCUGCGAAGUAGUGAUAUUCCGCAUCGGAGAGCGAUGAGCCCCUGCCGUUAAACCCCCAACUUUCCAAGGUUGACCUCAGAUCAGGUAGGAAUACCCGCUGAACUUAAGCAUAUCAAUAAGCGGAGGA